CCAACUAGCCAAUCACAGUGCGACUGAAAUUCUCUGUUGGCACGAAAUUGUUUAGACGCCGGGAAUACAAAUUAUAAUACCUCACUUGAGUAUCCACCGUGUGCGACAACGGUUCGCUUACUUUUAAUACUUAGUAUUAUUAAAAGUUUUAAAAAUAAAUUCAUUUCCUACAACAUCAUUUCUUGCACCAUCACCAUUGCAUACUUAUUUUUCGUAUUUAUUUUAAUCGUGUUUAACGUUAUUGUAUAUUCUUGUUAUUUCUUUUAUUUUCUAUCUAUCAAGUUUAAUUUUUUAUCAUAAAAAUGAUUAAAUGUGAAUAUUGUACACGUCUUCUUUCAUUCUCAAAGACGCCCUAAUAACACUUAUGAAAAAAUACACAGUGAACUUUGCUUUCUGUGUAUUGAAAGCACAGUGAUCAUUUAAGAACAAGUGCAAUCUCACUCGACACGAAAAGAACUUUCAUCAUAUUUUAAUGCUCAAGCUCAACCAAUACAGAUGGAGACCUCUCUUAAAGUAUUUAUUCUAGAUAUCCAAGUUUGUCUAUUAAACGAAAAACGAAACAAUUUGUGGACUGAAUUAAUGAAUGUUUAUGUACAACAAUUAACAGCACUGAAUAAUUUUGAAAAAUCAGAUAUAUGGAAUGACUGAUGACUUGGGUGUCGACACUCGACAAACACUGGUGAUGGCCGACGGUUAGACUCAGAAAAGUUUUCAAAAACUUUUCCACCUUCAAAAUCAGACCGCCAAUUGCACCAGUCCGUUAAAUCAGUGAUACCAGUAUCACAAACAGCAUCGGUACUAACGUUACAAAAUAUAAUUUACCCGUUCAUUUCUCACAGAGACGAAAUGUCCUGAUUAUAGGUACUUAGAACAACUUACACCAGCAGCUAGUAUUAUGAUAAUACGUGUAUAUACUGUAUAUAAACAAUAAAUUCGGUUUAUUGCGGUUUAAGCGCGUUUUAUUGUUCACUGGCUUUGUAAAUAAUUAUGUUAACUAUUUUAUAAGUGUCAAAAAAUGUAUUUCUGUGAACAAUAAGUUUAGAUGGUCAGAUGUCAGAGAAACUUUAAUAAAAUAUAAACAGGAGAAAAAAAGCGCUUUUUAACCGAGCAGUAUGUGAUUUAAUGCUUUUCGUAAAAUGGAACUUUUGCAGCAAGUACAAUAACAGUGAUGAAACCCGAAUACCUACGACAAAUCAGCUUCCGGAAAAAGAAUUCAAGCUAUCUCCGCGACUAGCUAUCAGAAUUUAUGUAGGUAAAUAUUACUAUUAUUUAUUAUCGAACAAUUAGGUGGCCAGUUUACAUUUUGCGAACAUCAUACAGAUGAGCUGUAACAUGUCAUUUUGUAAGACUAUACAUAUUUAUGGGUUUUACCCUGUAUAUGCAAGGAAUAGGGAUAAAUAAUAAGAAAUUCAAUUUUUUACAAAUAUAAUUUAUAUUUAAAUAAUAUGAUUUACCUAGUAUAAUAUAAUACUUGGAGAAAUAAAUAAAGUAUGUUUAAUAAUUUAAUAAUAAAUAAGUAUUAUGUAGGCAGCGUCAUGUUGACGUCAAAUUGCUAUAAUAUAGGUAUUAUAAUAUAAUAUUAUUUAAAAUGUUCGACUAUCAUAACAAAAUUAUAUUAUUAAAAUAAUCGUCGUCAAAUCGCCGAUGAUCUUCGUCGACCGUUAUUAUUGUUAAUAACUUAUUAUGAUUAUUAGGUAUAUCCGCCAACCAAAUUAUAAGCGUCGGCUAUACGACUCAUUAUAUUAUAAUUUAUAACCAUGAAGUUCGGAUGACGUAGAAUAGAAUAUUUAUUUUAUUUUCCUAUUGGUAGUUUUUAUUUAUAAAUUUUAAAUUUAGGAUUAUUUGGUUAUUUAAUUUGUCGGAAAAAAAUUCAAAAAUAAAAAUAUUUCAUUCUACCACGGUCACUGGUUCUAGUUCAGAAAUUUGGCGGAUUUAUUAUUUGUAUAUUCUAAAAACGUGUAUGUUGUACGUUAAUUAAUUAUAUAGUUAUA